GACGAACCAAGCGAACGUUGUUCGGAAUCACUGGGCUUAAAGGGCGCGUAGGCGGGCUGUCAAGUCUGGGGUGAAAUCCCGCGGCUCAACCGUGGAACUGCCUCAGAUACUGACGGUCUCGAGGGAGAUAGGGGCGAGCGGAACUGUGAGUGGAGCGGUGAAAUGCGUUGAUAUUCACAGGAACUCCGGUGGCGAAGGCGGCUCGCUGGAUCUCUUCUGACGCUGAGGCGCGAAAGCUAGGGGAGCAAACGGG
rnacentral:rRNA from 1 species